ACCCCAACAAAUUUGCUGAUGAUGACGAGGAUGAUAUGAAUAUGGAGGCAGGCUUUGAUGACAUCAUGAGGGAGGAAAGAAGGAGUGCCAAAAUUGCUAGGAGGGAGGAUGAAGAGCAACUCCGAUUGAUAGAGGAGGAGGAAGAAAGAGAACGGAGAAGUCGAAUUGCCAAGUUAAAGAAGCGUAAGCUUGCCAAUCAUUAACACCAUAUCUUCCCUUGACUUCCCCAUUUGUAAUCCGUAUAAUUAGAGACAUUCCUCCUUAAUGCCCGUUCGAAUGGUAUUUAAUCAAUUCUUCCAAUUGAGUAGAAAUCUGUUGCCCCUUGUUACCCAGGGGGAAAAAAAAAUCCGCUCCCCUUGUUCUAAUAAUUCUUUUGAUCUA